AGAGUUUGAUCCUGGCUCAGAACGAACGCUGGCGGCAGGCCUAACACAUGCAAGUCGAGCGAAGCCUUCGGGCUUAGUGGCGAACGGGUGAGUAACGCGUGGGAACCUGCCCCCGAGUGGGGAACAACUGCUGGAAACGGCAGCUAAUACCGCAUACGCCUCUUCGGAGGGAAAGCUUUAUGCGCUCAGGGAGGGUCCCGCGUCCGAUUAGCUAGUUGGAGGGGUAACGGCCCACCAAGGCGACGAUCCGUAGCUGGUCUGAGAGGAUGAUCAGCCACACUGGGACUGAGACACGGCCCAGACUCCUACGGGAGGCAUCAGUGGGGAAUAUUGGACAAGGGGGGCAACCCUGAUCCAGCCAUGCCGCCGUGUGUGAAGAAGGCCUUAGGGUUGUAAAGCACUUUCAGUAGGGAGGAAAAGUUAGUCGUUAAUAUCGGCUAACCCUGACGUUACCUACAGAAGAAGCACCGGCAAACUCCGUGCCAGCAGCUGCGGUAAUACGGAGGGUGUAAGCGUUAAUCGGAAUUACUGGGCGUAAAGCGCGCGUAGGCGGUUUGCUAAGCCAGAUGUGAAAGCCCCGGGCUCAACCUGGGAACUGCAUUUGGAACUGGCAGGCUAGAGUACGGUAGAGGGUGGUAGAAUUUCCUGUGUAGCGGUGAAAUGCGUAGAUAUAGGAAGGAAUACCAGUGGCGAAGGCGGCCACCUGGACUGAUACUGACGCUGAGGUGCGAAAGCGUGGGGAGCGAACAGGAUUAGAUACCCUGGUAGUCCACGCCGUAAACGAUGUCAACUAGCCGUAGGGAUCCUUGAGGUCUUUGUGGCCAGCUAACGCAAUAAGUUGACCGCCUGGGGAGUACGGCCGCAAGGUUAAAACUCAAAUGAAUUGACGGGGGCCCGCACAAGCGGUGGAGCAUGUGGUUUAAUUCGAUGCAACGCGAAGAACCUUACCUGGUCUUGACAUCCUACGAACUUACUAGAGAUAGUUUGGUGCCUUCGGGAACGUAGUGACAGGUGCUGCAUGGCUGUCGUCAGCUCGUGUCGUGAGAUGUUGGGUUAAGUCCCGUAACGAGCGCAACCCUUAUCCUUAUUUGCCAGCACGUAAUGGUGGGAACUCUAGGGAGACUGCCGGUGAUAAACCGGAGGAAGGUGGGGACGACGUCAAGUCAUCAUGGCCCUUAUGGGUAGGGCUACACACGUGCUACAAUGGUCGGUACAGAGGGCUGCAAACUCGCGAGAGUAAGCUAAUCUCAGAAAGCCGAUCCUAGUCCGGAUUGGAGUCUGCAACUCGACUCCAUGAAGUUGGAAUCGCUAGUAAUCGUAGAUCAGAAUGCUACGGUGAAUACGUUCCCGGGCCUUGUACACACCGCCCGUCACACCAUGGGAGUGGGUUGCAAAAGAAGUGGGUAGACUAACCUUCGGGAGGUCGCUCACCACUUUGUGAUUCAUGACUGGGGUGAAGUCGUAACAAGGUAGCC
rnacentral:rRNA from 1 species